CCAGCAGCCCCCGUUAAUACGGAGGGUGCCAAGCGUUUAUCGGGAAUUACUGGGAGUAAAGCGCACCGCGGGCCGUUUUUUCAAGUUCGGAUGUGAAAUCCCCCGGGCUCAACCUGGGAAGUUCAUUUGAAACUGGCAGGCUAGAGUCUUGUAGAGGGGGGGUAGAAUUUCCAGGUGUAGCGGUGAAAAUGCGUAGAGAUAUGGAGGAAUACCGGUGGCGAAGGCGGCCUCUCUGGACAAAGACUGACGCUCAGGUGCGAAAGCGUGGGGAGCAAACAGGAUUAGAUACCCUGGUAGUUCACGCUGUAAACGAUGUCGAUUAGGAGGUUGUGCCCUUGAGGCGUGGCUUCCGGAGCUAACGCGUUAAAUCGUCCGCCUGGGGAGUACGGCCGCAAGGUUAAAACUCAAAUGAAUUGACGGGGGCCCGCACAAGCGGUGGAGCAUGUGGUUUAAUUUGAUGCAACGCGAAGAACCUUACCUGGUCUUGACAUCCACAGAACUUUCCAGAGGGGAUUGGUGCCUUCGGGAACUGUGAGACAGGUGCUGCAUGGCUGUCGUCAGCUCGUGUUGUGAAAUGUUGGGUUAAGUCCCGCAACGAGCGCAACCCUUAUCCUUUGUUGCCAGCGGUUAGGCCGGGAACUCAAAGGAGACUGCCAGUGAUAAACUGGAGGAAGGUGGGGAUGACGUCAAGUCAUCAUGGCCCUUACGACCAGGGCUACACACGUGCUACAAUGGCAUAUACAAAGAGAAGCGACCUCGCGAGAGCAAGCGGACCUCAUAAAGUAUGUCGUAGUCCGGAUUGGAGUCUGCAACUCGACUCCAUGAAGUCGGAAUCGCUAGUAAUCGUAGAUCAGAAUGCUACGGUGAAUACGUUCCCGGGCCUUGUACACACCGCCCGUCACACCCAUGGGAGUGGGUUGCAAAAGAAGUAGGUAGCUUAACCUUCGGGAGCGCCGCCUUACCCACUUUGUGAUUCGAUGACUGGGGUGAA
rnacentral:rRNA from 1 species